AGAGGAUCACUGUCAGUGUGGAAUUCAGUAAAGCAAGUGUGAAGGUAUCACAACUAUACUUCUCACAAUCACAUAACCUUGACCACAUCCAGGGGCUAGACAGCUCCUCACCUGUUUGAUUCGGGAACGGGCUGGGGAGCUGCGCCGCCGCCCCUUGUCCCCCCUCAGCUUUGCCUCCACUGAUAGCUGUCCCAGCAUCACACAACAGUGAGUCAUCAGUCUCCGGCAGUGAGUCGGUACAGAGCCGCAGGGAGCCCUCAUCUCGGACUGGACUAACAUCUGUAGAUACCCCCAGCUCCAUGGACAGAGAGCCGCCCCCCUCGGGGUCAGGAGAGCCCAGCAGGGGCUCUGAACAAGGAAAACUGGCACUGGCAUCACCCUGGCUCAGAUUAGAGAUCUCAUUUACAAUGUCGGAUUUGAUGAGAGUGGGUGGUAUGGGGGCCACUGGUGCUCGGGGCUCCUCCUGCUCUUCACAGGGUGAUCCCUGCUCUGCCUGCUUGCAUUCUGGGCCAUAGACCUCCAUAGGGGUCACAGGAGCCAGCUCCUCUGGGUCAAGGAGCACAGGGGAACCUUUAAAUUCACUAGCCAAGCUGCCAGGGGUCUGUCCAGCCUCUGGCUGUGAACCAGGAGCAUCAGUCCCAUCGAGAGGGGCUAUGUCUUCCUCCAAGCCAGAGAAGUCGUCCAGGGCUGGGGCAGGGCUGGGGGCAGGACAAGACAGAUCCCCCAUAGGGGAGGGGAGAGGGCUGGUGGCACUGGGUUCCAAGGCUGGGCAUUCAGGUUCUGGGCCUUUCUCAGUCUCCAUCUCAUGUGGCUCAGCCUCGUCUGAGACCUCCACUGCCUUCCCCAUGGGACUCAAUGGGGAGGGAACAGACAGUGGCAGAGCAGGAGGGGAACACUGGGAAGGAGAGGCGCUUGGGGGAGGUAAGGAAUGCUGAAGGAGCGGAGAACACUGUGGGGGGAGGGGCUCCAUCAAGAUGGGAGAAGCAAGUUCCACCGAGGAACCCGGAGAUGGGGGAAGGAUCAUCGGGGGCACAGGCUCAGGGUCAGUGCAGUUAGCUUCUGGAGGAGGGCUGAUGGGUGUCUCUAGGAUGGGGGCAGCCAGUGGCGACUCAGGGUCACUGUCCCCUUUGGCACCAAAGGGGUACUCUAACUCCCCCAGAGGAGACAGAGAUGGCGGGGCCGCGGCUGGGAUAAUGGGUGAGAGUGGAGGAGGAAGAGGAUCUGAGAGGGAGAGAAAAAAAAAGGGGCUCUUAGAUUACAUGUACCAUAAAGAGUUAAGAUUGUCCCAGGGAAAGGAGGCACCAAUAUCCCCUUACCUGGUGGCAUCAGCUGAGGUGACAAGGACGGCUCUCCUGAUGGAGACAACGGCAGCUCCUCAGGUAGAGGAGAUAGAGGUGGUUCCCCAGGCUCAGACAGGGCCGGCUCUCCAAGCAAAGGGGAUAAGGGUGGCUCCCCAGGUUGGGGGAACAAGGGCAACUCCUCAGAUGGAGGGCACUGGCCUGGCGCCUCAGGAGGCUCUUCAGGCUGAAGGGACCCACACGGUAACUCAGGCCGGGGGAACAGGCAUGGUUCCUCAGGCAUGGGGGACAAGUGGGGCUCUUUAGCCUGAGGGGACAGGUGUAAUUCCUCAGGUUGAGGGGACAAGUGAAGUUCCUCAGGCUGGGGGGACAAGUGUGGUUCCUCAGGCACAGGGGACAGGCGUGGCUCCUCAGGCUGAGAGGACAGACUUGGCUUCUCAAGCGCAGAGGACAGGCAUGGCUCCUCAGGCCCCGAAGACAGGUGCAGCUCCUCAGGCUGGGGGCAGAGUUGAGGCUCCUCAGGCUGGGGGCAGAGUCUCAGCUCUUCAGGCAGUGGUGACAGGGGUGACUCCUCCAGCGGUAGGGACAUGAGCGAGUCCUCUGGUGGUGGUGAAGCACGUGAGUCUUCAGAUGGUGCGGAUGUGGGGGAGUCCUCAGGUGGUGGGGACAGGCGCGAAGCUUCAGGUGGAGGUGAUGUGGGAGAUUCCUCAGGGGGUGGAGACAGAGGAGAUUCCUCAGGGGGUGGAGGCAGACGUGACACCUCAGGUGGGGGGGACGUAGGCGAGUCUUCGGGCAGUGGGGACAUGGGUGAGUCUUCAGGGGGUGGGGACAGGCGUGAGGCCUCAGGAGGUGGGGACAAGGGAGAGUCCUCAGGUGGAGGGGACAGAGGAGACUCUUCAAAUGGUGGGAACAGACGAGACGCCUCAGGUGGUGGAGACAUGGGCGACUCUUCAGGUGGAGGGGACAUGGGCGACUCUUCAGGUGGCGGGGACACGCGAGAUGCUUCAGGUGGUGGAGAAGUGGGCAAUUCCUCAGGAGGAGGAGACAGGGGAGACUCUUCAAAUGGUGGAGACAGGGGUGAUGCCUCUGGUGGUGGGGACAGGGGCGUCUCAAGUGCAGGAGAUGCAGGCAACCCUUCCGGUGGAGAGAAGGACGACUCCUCCAGUGGAGAAAAAGGUGAUGAUUCGGGUGGGGGAGACAGAGGAGACGCCUCAGGUGGUGGAGAGAGGGGUGACUCUUCAGGCAUCGGGGACAAGCAUGAUUCCUCAGGCGGUGGGGAUGCAGGUGACUCCUCAGGUGGCGGGGACAGGCGUGAGGCCUCGGGUGGUGGGGAUGUGGGUGACUCCUCAGGUGGUGGGGACAGGGGCGACUCCUCAGGUAGGGGUAGCAGUGGCAUUUCCUCAUUUAGUGGGGCCUCCGACUGGGGCUCAGCUUGGGCCCCUGCUCUCCCUGCAGACACAACAUACUAUAUUCCUACCUAGCUCAGAUCUACUCCGCAGAAAGUGCAGGACUGAGGCAAAGCAAAGCUGUCU
ensembl:lncRNA